GACAACGUAGCUCAAUGGCUAGAGCGCAGGGCGAUGCCCUUGGGAUGCUGGUUCGAUUCCAGCCGUUGUCA
rfam:Phytophthora nicotianae strain race 0 contig1336, whole genome shotgun sequence.